GACGAACGCUGGCGGCGUGCUUAACACAUGCAAGUCGAGCGGAAAGGCCACUUCGGUGGUACUCGAGCGGCGAACGGGUGAGUAACACGUGAGUAAUCUGCCCCUGGCUUUGGGAUAGCCACCGGAAACGGUGAUUAAUACCGGAUACGACCACUUCCCGCAUGGGAUGGUGGUCGAAAGUUUUUUCGGCCAGGGAUGUGCUCGCGGCCUAUCAGCUUGAUGGUGAGGUAAUGGCUCACCAUGGCUUCGACGGGUAGCCGGCCUGAGAGGGUGACCGGUCAAACUGGGACUGAGACACGGCCCAGACUCCUACGGGAGGCAGCAGUGGGGAAUAUUGGACAAUGGGCGGAAGCCUGAUCCAGCAACGCCGCGUGAGGGAUGACGGCCUUCGGGUUGUAAACCUCUUUCAGCAGGGACGAAGCGCAAGUGACGGUACCUGCAGAAGAAGCACCGGCCAACUACGUGCCAGCAGCCGCCGUAA
rnacentral:rRNA from 1 species